AAGUGGAGCAAUCCAUGAGUAAAGUGGCGCACGGGUGAGUAACACGUGACUAACCUACCCUUGAGUGGGGAAUAACUUCGGGAAACCGAGGCUAAUACCGCAUAACACCUACGGGUCAAAGGAGCAAUUCGCUUAAGGAGGGGGUCGCGGCAGAUUAGUUAGUUGGCGGGGUAAUGGCCCACCAAGACAGUGAUCUGUAUCCGGCCUGAGAGGGCGCACGGACACACUGGAACUGAAACACGGUCCAGACUCCUACGGGAGGCAGCAGUGGGGAAUUUUGCGCAAUGGGGGAAACCCUGACGCAGCAACGCCGCGUGGAGGAUGAAGUCUCUUGGG
rnacentral:rRNA from 1 species